rnacentral:sRNA from 1 species
UACUGCCCUGUGUGGGCGGUCGUCCCCUA